UCGCACAUCAGGAAUAUCGAUAUAGCUCAAGGCCGCCGUCAUGCAAAACCCCCUCAAAACCCUAGAAACAACUCACUCUCCACCACAACAACGAAGACGAUCCAAAAAAAAAAACCUAGAAAAAUUUACACCAAUCCAACAACACAAAUCCACAAUCACCUCAAAUUUCCCAUAAUCCAAACCCUAAUCCCCUAAAACCCUAGAAUCAAUCCCUCCAUAGCAACACACAGACAUCUAGAUAUGAAUUUGUAGGUAUUUAUCUAUCUGUAAGAUGAAGACUAUUUCAGGGAAUGUGACAUCUACGAAGCCAAUCUCUCUCUCCAAAGCUUCGAAAAUCCUCUCCAACUUCGUCACCGCCGAGACCGGAGCUUCCCACGCUGUGUCCGCAUACCUGAAACGCGCUUCGGCAUCGUUCAACGAGUUGGUUCAGUUCCACAAAGAGCUCAAGGCUUCGAAGCCCGAUCGAAGGCUCAAGAACAAUGUCCAAGAUCACCCUUUGAAGUACGAGCACAACUCAGAGGAAGAGUACGAAGAGGACAGUGUGGGAAAGAAGCAUAAGAAGAAGACGAAGAAGAAGAGGAAGAGUGAGGGGGUUGAUGAUGAAGAGGUUGUUGAUUCGGCGGAACAGAGUAAUUCGAAGAACAAGAAGAAGAAGAGGAAGAGUGAGGAGGCUGAUAAUGAAGAGGUUGUUGAUUCGGCGGAACAGAGUAAUUCGAAGAAGAAGAAGAAGAAGAGGAAGAGUGAGGAGGUUGAUGAUGAAGAGGUUGUUGAUUCGGCGGAACAGAGUAAUUCGAAGAAGAAGAAGAAGAAAAAGAGGAGAAUUGAACAUGAUCAAUAGUGCGCUGAGCUAUGAUAUGGAUUGUUGUUGCUGUUGUCAUUCAUGGGUGGUGUGAUUAAAGGAGGGUUUUUUUUCAGAGCAAUCGAUAGUUUGGGAUUGGUCUUGUUGAUAUUGAAGGUUGCAAACUGUCCCUUCUUCUGGCUGGCAUGACCAUCAAUUUCUAAGCACAUUGGACUAAAGGGCUGAAGAAGACAGGGUGAUUGUUACUAGCUGUAUCACCUCCAAGACUCAUAGCUACCUUGACAUUUGGAUGGCGGGCCUUGAUGGAAGAAACCUGAAAUGGGCUGAGGUUGUUGG